rnacentral:rRNA from 1 species
AUUGAACGCUGGCGGCAGGCCUAACACAUGCAAGUCGAGCGGAUGAGGGGAGCUUGCUCUCUGAUUCAGCGGCGGACGGGAGAGUAAUGCCUAGGAAUCUGCCUGGUAGUGGGGGACAACGUUUCGAAUGGAACGCUAAUACCGCAUACGUCCUACGGGAGAAAGUGGGGGAACUUCGGACCUCACGCUAUCAGACGAGCCUAGGUACGAUUAGCUAGUUGGUGAGGUAAAGGCUCACCAAGGCGACGAUCGUUAACUGGUCUGAGAGGAUGAUCAGUCACACUGGAACUGAGACACGGUCCAGACUCCUACGGGAGGCAGCAGUGGGGAAUUUUGGACAAUGGGCGAAAGCCUGAUCCAGCCAUGCCGCGUGUGUGAAGAAGGUCUUCGGAUUGUAAAGCCCUUUUGUCCGGGAGGAAAUCCCGCAACCCAAUACGUUGCGGGGAUGACAGUACUGGAAGAAUAAGCACCGGCUAACUACGUGCCAGCAGCCGCAGUAAAAC